AGCUCAGAUAAAUGCAGAAGUUCCACCAGCUUCUCAGCUGCAGUUGAAGGGAACUCACUCAACUUAGAGUGGUGGGUGCUGUCCAUGCCCGACUGUGUUUUCAAGAAAAGUGAUGAUUUCUGAGGUCUAAUUCAGAGCUGGGACCAGGAUAAAGAUUUCUUCCAGAGCCAGUGUCACCAAAGUAUAUACUUAGAUGACAAACCAGGGGUUCCUGCCACAGUUUUGCCACUGUGCCUGCUCCUCAGCCACAUCAUUCCAUGUAGCCAUUUUAGCCAGGGCAUCAUUGACCAAGGUCUGACAAUUAUGAGAAGAAUAGAAGAUCCUGUGAAGCCAUUAUUAGCUCUUGACUCAAUGGCAACAGCCCUUUUUUCCAUUUGAACUAACGCAGUUGUAAAACCUUGGGCAAGUAGUUCAAUGUGCCUGGACCUCAGUUUCCCUCAACUAUGCAAUGCAAUUAAUAAAUCCUACCUCUCAAAAGCAGAUUGUUCUAAAUAUUUACUGAGAU
rnacentral:lncRNA from 1 species